CCUACGGGAGGCAGCAGUAGGGAAUCUUCCGCAAUGGACGAAAGUCUGACGGAGCAACGCCGCGUGAGCGAUGAAGGCCUUCGGGUCGUAAAGCUCUGUUGUUAGGGAAGAACAAGUAUCGUUCGAAUAGGGCGGUACCUUGACGGUACCUAACCAGAAAGCCACGGCUAACUACGUGCCAGCAGCCGCGGUAAUACGUAGGUGGCAAGCGUUAUCCGGAAUUAUUGGGCGUAAAGCGCUCGCAGGCGGUCCUUUAAGUCUGAUGUGAAAGCCCACGGCUCAACCGUGGAGGGUCAUUGGAAACUGGGGGACUUGAGUGCAGAAGAGGAGAGCGGAAUUCCACGUGUAGCGGUGAAAUGCGUAGAGAUGUGGAGGAACACCAGUGGCGAAGGCGGCUCUCUGGUCUGUAACUGACGCUGAGAGAGCGAAAGCGUGGGGAGCGAACAGGAUUAGAUACCCUGGUAGUCCACGCCGUAAACGAUGAGUGCUAAGUGUUAGAGGGUUUCCGCCCUUUAGCGCUGCAGCAAACGCAUUAAGCACUCCGCCUGGGGAGUACGGUCGCAAGACUGAAACUCAAAUGAAUUGACGGGG
rnacentral:rRNA from 1 species